rnacentral:rRNA from 1 species
CCAAUAGCGUAUAUUAAAGUUGUUGCAGUUAAAAAGCUCGUAGUUGAAUUUCGGGAUCAACAUGUCGGUCGUGCCUCCGGUACGUACUGGCAUCGUUGAUUUCUACCUUCUGACGAACCAUGAUGUCAUUAAUUUGGUGUCAUGGGGAAUCAGGACUGUUACUUUGAAAAAAUUAGAGUGUUUAAAGCAGGCACACGCUUGAAUACAUUAGCAUGGAAUAAUGGAAUAGGACGUUUGACCCUAUUUUGUUGGUUUCUAGGAUCGACGUAAUGAUUAAUAGGGAUAGUUGGGGGCAUUAGUAUUCAAUUGUCAGAGGUGAAAUUCUUGGAUUUAUUGAAGACUAACUACUGCGAAAGCAUUUGCCAAGGAUGUUUUCAUUAAUCAAGAACGAAAGUUAGGGGAUCGAAGACGAUCAGAUACCGUCGUAGUCUUAACCAUAAACUAUGCCGACUAGGGAUCGGAUGAUGUUAAUUUUUUAAUGACUCAUUCGGCGCCUUACG